UGCAAGUCGAGCGGAUGAGAGGAGCUUGCUCCUGGAUUCAGCGGCGGACGGGUGAGUAAUGCCUAGGAAUCUGCCUGGUAGUGGGGGACAACGUUUCGAAAGGAACGCUAAUACCGCAUACGUCCUACGGGAGAAAGCAGGGGACCUUCGGGCCUUGCGCUAUCAGAUGAGCCUAGGUCGGAUUAGCUAGUUGGUGAGGUAAUGGCUCACCAAGGCGACGAUCCGUAACUGGUCUGAGAGGAUGAUCAGUCACACUGGAACUGAGACACGGUCCAGACUCCUACGGGAGGCAGCAGUGGGGAAUAUUGGACAAUGGGCGAAAGCCUGAUCCAGCCAUGCCGCGUGUGUGAAGAAGGUCUUCGGAUUGUAAAGCACUUUAAGUUGGGAGGAAGGGUUGUAGAUUAAUACUCUGCAAUUUUGACGUUACCGACAGAAUAAGCACCGGCUAACUCUGUGCCAGCAGCCGCGGUAAUACAGAGGGUGCAAGCGUUAAUCGGAAUUACUGGGCGUAAAGCGCGCGUAGGUGGUUUGUUAAGUUGGAUGUGAAAUCCCCGGGCUCAACCUGGGAACUGCAUCCAAAACUGGCAAGCUAGAGUAUGGUAGAGGGUGGUGGAAUUUCCUGUGUAGCGGUGAAAUGCGUAGAUAUAGGAAGGAACACCAGUGGCGAAGGCGACCACCUGGACUGAUACUGACACUGAGGUGCGAAAGCGUGGG
rnacentral:rRNA from 1 species